GAUGAACGCUGGCGGCGUGCCUAAUACAUGCAAGUCGAGCGAACAGACGAGGAGCUUGCUCCUCUGACGUUAGCGGCGGACGGGUGAGUAACACGUGGAUAACCUACCUAUAAGACUGGGAUAACUUCGGGAAACCGGAGCUAAUACCGGAUAAUAUAUUGAACCGGAUGGUUCAAUAGUGAAAGACGGUUUUGCUGUCACUUAUAGAUGGAUCCGCGCCGGAUUAGCUAGUUGGUAAGGUAACGGCUUACCAAGGCAACGAUGCGUAGCCGACCUGAGAGGGUGAUCGGCCACACUGGAACUGAGACACGGUCCAGACUCCUACGGGAGGCAGCAGUAGGGAAUCUUCCGCAAUGGGCGAAAGCCUGACGGAGCAACGCCGCGUGAGUGAUGAAGGUCUUCGGAUCGUAAAACUCUGUUAUUAGGGAAGAACAAAUGUGUAAGUAACUAUGCCCGUCUUGACGGUACCUAAUCAGAAAGCAACGGCUAACUACGUG
rnacentral:rRNA from 1 species